AUCAUCUGGGGAUCUUGUUAAAAUGCAGAUUCUGAUAUAGUAUGUCUGGAUGGGGCCUGAGAAUUUGCAUUUCUAACAAGCUCUCAGAUGAUGUUGA
rnacentral:pre_miRNA from 1 species